GAUGAAGAACGUAGCGAAAUGCGAUAAGUAAUGAGAAUUGCAGAAUUCAGUGAAUCAUCGAAUCUUUGAACGCACAUUGCGCCCCUUGGUAUUCCGAGGGGCAUGCCUGUUCGAGCGUCAUAUUAACCACUCCCGCUUGCGGGGUCUUGGGCUUCGCCUCCGGGCGGGCCUUAAAAUCAGUGGCGGUGCCGUCGGGCUCUACGCGUAGUAAAUUUUCUCGCGAUAGGGUCCCGGUGGAUGCUUGCCAACAACCCCCAACUUCUUAAGGUUGACCUCGGAUCAGGUAGGGAUACCCGCUGAACUUAAGCAUAUCAAUAAGCGGAGGA
rnacentral:misc_RNA from 1 species